rnacentral:tRNA from 1 species
AGCAAAGUGGCACAGCGGAAGCAUGCUGGGCCCAUAACCCAGAGGUCAAUGGCUCGAAACCAUCCUCUGCUA